rnacentral:misc_RNA from 1 species
GCAAGCAAAGAAAACGGAAAAAUAAAAGCGUAUUAAGAUUUCGUGUGGAAAGUAAAAAUGCUGUAGGCGCAGUGUAAAAUGCAUAUAUUGCAGAUAAAUCGCGUUUGUGAGAUGCUUAAACGCGAAUUCAACAUCAAGUCGGUGCAGAACUUCAAGGUGCAAUAACACAAAUACCCGAAUUAUCGAAUAAACCAAAGUGCAAUUGGCCAGUUGAGACUACAACCACCAUAACAACAACAACAACAGCAGCAACAGUGAAAUAAUAAUAUAACCUUGUGUUUUGUUUUUUCGUGGAUCACAAAUAAGCAUAUAUACACAGAAUUAAUCGAGGUGCAAACGGUGUAAAAAGUGAUUAAAUAAUAAAGGUUUAACAGGAAAACAGAGUUAUUGUGUGUGCGAGUGUGUGUGUGCGUAGUGACAACAAUACAAACGCGGCGACCAAUACAAGCGCACAGAUAGUUUUCAUACGUAGGAAAAUACCGAAAGUAACAGCGAUAAAUAAUACAAAACAACAACGAAGAGUCUCAAAAAGUGCUGGAAAAACUCGCGAUAAGAAAAACAGGAACCUCCACAUCGGCAGAUCACUUGAAUGCUGCCGCACUUUGAAAUCCUGAGACACAAUGGUUUCGUUAAUUGACACAAUCGAAGCGGCGGCCGAGAAACAGAAGCAGUCCCAAUCGGUGGCCACCAACUCCUCCUCCUCCUCCUCAUCCUCUUCGUUCUCGGCCUCCCCGCCAUCUUCGGCCGUUGGCUCCCCAGCUCCUGGCGCCCAAAAAUCCAAUCUCACCGCCAGCGGCAAACCAAAGGAGAAACGAAGGAACAAUGAGAAACGCAAGGAAAAGUCUCGCGAUGCGGCUAGAUGUCGUCGCUCCAAGGAGACGGAGAUUUUCAUGGAACUCUCCGCGGCUUUGCCAUUGAAAACCGACGAUGUCAAUCAACUGGACAAGGCCUCCGUGAUGAGGAUCACUAUCGCUUUCCUCAAGAUUCGCGAGAUGCUGCAGUUCGUGCCCAGCUUGCGCGACUGCAAUGAUGCCAUUAAGCAGGACAUUGAAGCUCUAGAAGAUCAGCAGGAGAUCAAGCCCAAGCUAGAAGUGGGCAAUGAGGAUUGGCUCAACGGCGCUGAGGCCAGAGAGCUCCUUAAGCAGACCAUGGAUGGAUUCCUGCUGGUCCUGUCCCACGAGGGAGACAUCACCUACGUGUCCGAAAACGUGGUCGAGCAUCUGGGCAUCACCAAGAUUGACACACUUGGCCAACAGAUCUGGGAGUACUCGCACCAGUGCGAUCACGCCGAGAUCAAGGAGGCUCUCAGCCUGAAGCGUGAGAUUGCCCAGAAGGUCAAGGAUGAACCGCAGCAGGACUCUGGCGUGAGCACCCAUCACCGGGAUCUGUUUGUGCGCUUGAAGUGCACCUUGACCAGUCGUGGACGCAGCAUCAACAUCAAGAGCGCUUCGUAUAAGGUCAUUCACAUUACCGGUCACUUGGUGGUCAAUGCCAAGGGCGAGCGCCUGCUGAUGGCCAUUGGCCGACCCAUUCCGCAUCCGUCAAACAUUGAGAUUCCUUUGGGAACCAGCACCUUCCUAACCAAACACUCCCUGGAUAUGCGUUUCACCUAUGUGGAUGACAAGAUGCAAGACUUGUUGGGAUACUUGCCCAAGGAUCUACUUGACACCUCUUUGUUUUUGUGCCAGCAUGGAGCGGAUUCCGAACGCCUGAUGGCAACCUUCAAGAGCGUGCUGAGCAAGGGACAGGGCGAGACCUCGCGCUACAGAUUCCUGGGAAAGUAUGGUGGCUACUGCUGGAUUCUUAGCCAGGCCACGAUCGUCUACGAUAAGCUGAAGCCACAGAGCGUCGUUUGCGUGAACUACGUCAUAAGUAAUCUUGAGAAUAAACAUGAGAUAUACUCACUUGCUCAACAAACGGCUGCAAGUGAGCAAAAGGAACAGCAACAACACCACCACCAAGCAGCUGAAACCGAAGAGGAGCCCGAAAAAUCAGCAGAUCCCGAAAUAAUCCCUGAGGAAACCAAGGAAUCAGUGAACACACCAAUUUCCUUAGAGCCGGAAACUAAGCCUCUGCAAAUUGAGAGCGAGCAAGCAGAGAAAACCAACGAGGAAACCAAAACAAGUGCAACAAACCCACCAGUAACUGCAACCUCCACGGCUGACCAGAUAAAGCAGCUGCCCGAGAGCAAUCCCUACAAGCAGAUCCUCCAGGCGGAGUUGCUGAUCAAGCGGGAGAACCACUCGCCAGGACCACGCACCAUCACUGCCCAGCUGCUCAGCGGCAGUAGCAGUAGCAGUAGCAGUAGCAGUAGCAGCGGACUGCGUUCCGAGGAGAAGCGUCCCAAGUCGGUGACCGCUUCGGUCCUCCGCCCGAGUCCCGCUCCACCACUGACCCCGCCGCCCACAGCGGUCCUCUGCAAGAAGUCACCGCUCGGCGUGGAGCCCACUCUGCCGCCCACCACCACCGCCACGGCAGCCAUAAUCUCCUCGAGCAAUCAGCAGCUGCAGAUCACACAGCAAACCCAACUGCAGAGUCCCCAGCAACCAGCUCAAGAUAUGAGUAAAGGAUUCUGCUCGCUGUUUGCUGACGAUGGACGAGGUCUGACAAUGCUUAAGGAAGAACCCGACGAUUUGUCCCACCACCUGGCCUCCACCAAUUGCAUCCAGCUGGACGAGAUGACGCCCUUCAGUGACAUGCUGGUUGGCCUCAUGGGCACCUGCCUGCUGCCCGAGGACAUCAACUCCCUGGACUCGACCACCUGCUCCACGACGGCCAGCGGCCAGCACUACCAGAGCCCCAGCAGCAGCAGCACCUCUGCACCCAGCAAUACCAGUAGCAACAGCAAUAGCUAUGCCAACAGUCCGCUCAGCCCGCUCACACCCACACCCACGGCCAACGCUAGCAAUCCCAGUCAUCAGCAGCAGCAGCAGCAACAGCAGCAUCACAACCAGCAGCAGCAGCAGCAACAACAGCAGCAGCAGCAGCAUCAUCCACAGCACCACGACAACAGCAACAGCAGCAGCAAUAUCGAUCCGCUGUUCAACUAUCGCGAGGAGUCGAAUGACACCAGCUGCUCCCAGCACCUGCACUCGCCCAGCAUCACAUCAAAGAGUCCCGAGGACAGCAGCCUGCCAUCGCUGUGCAGUCCCAACUCGCUGACCCAGGAGGAUGACUUCUCGUUCGAGGCCUUCGCUAUGCGUGCUCCCUACAUCCCGAUCGAUGAUGAUAUGCCGCUGCUAACGGAGACGGAUCUCAUGUGGUGCCCACCAGAGGAUCUGCAGACCAUGGUGCCCAAGGAGAUCGAUGCCAUACAGCAGCAGUUGCAACAACUGCAGCAGCAACAUCACCAGCAAUACGCCAACAACAAUGGCUACCAGCAACAGCAACAGCAGCAGCAGCAACUGCAGCAGCAGCAUUUCUCCAACUCGCUGUGCUCGUCGCCAGCCUCAACGGUCUCGUCAUUGUCGCCAUCGCCCGUGCAACAGCACCAUCAGCAGCAGCAGGCGGCGGUCUUCACCAGCGAUUCCAGCGAACUGGCGGCGUUGCUGUGCGGAUCCGGAAAUGGAACACUGUCGAUCCUGGCAGGAAGUGGUGUUCCGGUUGCGGAGGAGUGCAACGAGCGGCUCCAACAACAUCAGCAGCAGCAACAACAGCAGCAACAGCAGAGUGGCAACGAGUUCAGGACUUUCCAGCAGCUGCAGCAGGAGUUGCAGUUGCAGGAGGAGCAGCAGCAGCGUCAGCAGCAGCAGCAGCAACAACAGCAGCAGCAGCAACAGCAGUUACUCAGCCUGAACAUCGAGUGCAAAAAAGAGAAAUACGAUGUGCAAAUGGGAGGCAGCUUAUGUCAUUCCAUGGAGGAUGCAUUUGAGAACGACUACAGCAAGGACUCCGCAAAUCUGGACUGCUGGGACCUGAUCCAAAUGCAGGUGGUGGACACGGAACCCGUGAGUCCCAACGCCGCAUCUCCUGCUCCCUGCAAGGUGUCUGCCAUCCAGUUGCUCCAGCAACAGCAGCAACUGCAGCAGCAGCAGAACAUCAUCUUGAAUGCAGUGCCAUUGAUCACCAUACAGAAUAACAAGGAAUUGAUGCAACAGCAGCAGCAGCAGCAGCAGGAGCAGCUGCAGCAGCCGGCUAUCAAACUGCUGAACGGAGCCAGCAUUGCGCCGGUGAACACCAAGGCCACCAUUCGCCUGGUGGAGAGCAAGCCACUCACCACGACGCAGUCUCGAGUGGCCAAGGUGAACCUUGUGCCCCAGCAGCAGCAGCAGCAGCAUGGAAACAAGCGACACCUGAAUAGCGCGACAGGAGCAUGCAAUCCCGUGGAGUCGAAGCGCCUGAAGAGCGGAACCAUCUGCCUGGAUGUGCAGUCGCCACAGCUGCUGCAGCAGCUGAUUGGCAAGGAUCCUGCCCAGCAGCAAGCCCAAGCAGCUAAGCGAGCAGGCAGUGAGCGCUGGCAGCAAUCGACGGAGAGCAAGCAGCAGAAGCAGCAGCAACAGCAGUCGAACUCGGUGCUGAAGAACCUGCUGGUCAGCGGACGCGAUAAUGACGAAUCCGAGGCAAUGAUAAUCGAUGAGGACAACUCCCUGGAGCAGCCAACUCCACUGGGCAAAUAUGGCUUGCCCCUGCACUGUCACACGUCCACGUCGUCGGUGCUGCGGGACUACCACCACAACCCGCUGAUCAGUGGCACCAACUUCCAGCUGUCUCCAGUCUUCGGAGGCUCCGACUCUGGCGGAGGUGACGGCGAGACCGGUUCAGUGGUUUCCCUUGAUGACUCCGUGCCCCCUGGCCUGACAACCUGCGACACGGAUGCCUCCAGCGACAGCGGCAUCGAUGAGAACAGCCUGGUGGAUGGAUCAUCAGGGUCACCGCGUAAGAGGAUGCUCCCAAGCUCCAUCAGCACUGAACAGGUUGAGUGUGCAGCACGCCCUUCGCAAGUGGUGACUCCAGUGAGCCAGAAGUCGUUGGAAGAGGAGCUCGACGGAUGCGCAACUGGCAGUAACGCCCCCAGCAGGAAGACUUCGAUUUCGUUCCUGGACAGCAGCAAUCCACUGCUGCACACGCCGGCGAUGAUGGACCUGGUCAACGACGACUACAUCAUGGGCGAGGGUGGCUUCGAGUUCAGCGAGAACCAGUUGGAGCAGGUUCUGGGUUGGCCAGAAAUCGCCUAGAUUCAGUACCUUAGUAGCAUGCACUGCAUUUGACAGGAGGCAUUUUUUUUUUUGGCGAAGGAUUAGAGAGAAAACAUUGAAAUUAAACUGAGCAUCGAGAAGGAAGCUAACCAAAAGAUUGAUUUUGAGCCUUGCGUGAAAGUACGAACCCAACUUGACAACCGGACAGGACCCAUGCCCACCAACCACCAAACCAGACGAUGAUCGAAAACUUGACCUCUGACCCCUGACCCCUGGCCGCGACACCGACCCCAUGCUAACCGACACAUUUACAAACAGGAAGGGUUAAUCACACUUGAAUAGUUUUGUAGCCAUGUUAACUGCCUAGAACAGAAGAAUAUACACAUGGAUGAGGAGCAACAUAGCGGAGGAGGUGGAAAACCAGUCGAAACAUAAAUAUAAACCUAUAGUUUACAAAAAGAGAAAAAAAAAAAACGUUGAAAAAUGUUCAUAGUUUUUUGCUGGAAGGCUCAAAGAAGUUUUUUGGUGAUGGUUGUAUUCUGUUUUAUAACUUUCAAGCAAAAAUGCUGUGACGACAAAAAAAGUUUUUGA